rnacentral:misc_RNA from 1 species
AAACACAUGGGUUCUUCCUUGUCCCUGUAAAUUCAUGUUUGAACAUUUGCUAAUAAUUCAAUUUGUUAAAUGGAAUCAUAUUGAAACUUGAUAGAUGGUUGUAGCGCUUGGAACUUGAAAACUUCUUCAAAGGACCCAGAGAAAUAAGUCAUAAUCAUAGAUUUUGUUCAUACCUAAUACCUAGGGCAUGCAUCAGAAUGACAUCUCAUGUUGCAUCAUGGUCUUUUGCCCACUUAUGAGCUUCCAUGUACGGAUCCUUUCUGAAACCUUAAUAUAGCCUUGUUUUUGCUGACAUGGUCAGAAAU